rnacentral:lncRNA from 1 species
CAGGAAUGCAGUUAGUCACAUGAAAACAGAACAUGUUUUUCAUGCAUCCCUUUUAGUUAUAGUAAUCUUUGCUGUUGCCUCUAUGAAUAGCAGGUUGGAUGCAGACCCUUCCUCCAGAGCUGGACCCCACACUGCAAUACAGGAACCGGUGGCAACCCACCCAGGAGCCAGUCCUGCCUUCGCCCCUGACGUGCAGCUGCAAGGGAACAGGGACUUGCAGUAAGCCAGGGGCUGGUUCUCGCAGUCACCCCACCAGGUCUGUAGUUACA